ACUCCUACGGGAGGCAGCAGUGGGGAAUAUUGCACAAUGGGCGAAAGCCUGAUGCAGCGACGCCGCGUGAAGGAUGAAGUAUUUCGGUAUGUAAACUUCUAUCAGCAGGGAAGAUAAUGACGGUACCUGACUAAGAAGCCCCGGCUAACUACGUGCCAGCAGCCGCGGUAAU
rnacentral:rRNA from 1 species